CCUGCUCUAUGAGAGGGUUUAAUGGCCGCAGUAUACUGACUGUGCAAAGGUAGCAUAAUAAUUAGUCUCUUAAUUAGGGUCUGGUAUGAACGGCUACAUGAGGGGUGACUUUCUUAUUUUUAGAAAAUUGAAUUUCUUAUUAAAGUGAGGAAACUUUGGUGAGCCUAAAAGACAAGAAGACCCUAUUAAGCUUUACUUCUAGAUUUAAGGAUAGAGUUGGGGGUAAGUUUAAUUAUAAAGUUUUGUUGGGGCAAUAUUGGUGUUUAAAUACCAAAUUAAGGAUUAUUAUGUGAAAAUUUUUUGAACCAAAAUUUUUGGUUAAUAGAACAAGUUACUAUAGGGAUAACAGCGUAAUUUUUUUGGAGAGUUCAUAUCGAUAAAAGAGUUUGCGACCUCGAUGUUGAAUUAAAGGACCUUAGGGGCGUAAGAGUUUUUAAAGGUAGUCUGUUCGACUAUUAAAUCUUUACA
rnacentral:rRNA from 1 species